rnacentral:rRNA from 1 species
AAAGCAUCUAAGCGCCAAGCCCCCCCUAAGAUAAGAUAUCCCUGAAGACAUCUUGAAGACUACAAGUUUGAUGGGCUGGAUGUGUAAGCCCCGCGAGGGGUUAAGCUAACCAGUACCAAUAUGUCGUUUGGCUUGACCAU